AGCGGCGAACGGGUGAGUAACACGUGAGCAACCUGCCCUAGGCUUUGGGAUAACCCCGGGAAACCGGGGCUAAUACCGAAUAGGACCUGACAUCGCAUGGUGUUGGGUGGAAAGUUUUUCGGCCUGGGAUGGGCUCGCGGCCUAUCAGCUUGUUGGUGGGGUGAUGGCCUACCAAGGCGACGACGGGUAGCCGGCCUGAGAGGGCGACCGGCCACACUGGGACUGAGACACGGCCCAGACUCCUACGGGAGGCAGCAGUGGGGAAUAUUGCACAAUGGGCGGAAGCCUGAUGCAGCGACGCCGCGUGAGGGAUGACGGCCUUCGGGUUGUAAACCUCUUUCAGCAGGGACGAAGCGCAAGUGACGGUACCUGCAGAAGAAGCGCCGGCCAACUACGUGCCAGCAGCCGCGGUAAGACGUAGGGCGCGAGCGUUGUCCGGAUUUAUUGGGCGUAAAGAGCUCGUAGGCGGCUUGUCGCGUCGACUGUGAAAACCCGCAGCUCAACUGCGGGGCCUGCAGUCGAUACGGGCAGGCUAGAGUUCGGUAGGGGAGACUGGAAUUCCU
rnacentral:rRNA from 1 species